AGGACGAACGCUGGCGGUGUGCUUCACACAUGCAAGUCGAACGAGGUAGCAAUACCUAGUGGCGGACGGGUGAGUAACGCGUGGGAAUCUGCCUUUAGAUGGGGGAUAACGGGCCGAAAGGUCCGCUAAUACCGCAUAGGCCGCAAGGUUAAAGGAGUAAUCCGUCUAAAGAUGAGCCCGCGUCCGAUUAGCUAGUUGGUAGGGUAAAAGCCUACCAAGGCGACGAUCGGUAGCUGGUCUGAGAGGAUGAUCAGCCACAUUGGGACUGAGACACGGCCCAAACUCCUACGGGAGGCAGCAGUGGGGAAUAUUGGACAAUGGGCGCAAGCCUGAUCCAGCCAUGCCGCGUGAGUGAUGAAGGCCCUAGGGUUGUAAAGCUCUUUUGUGCGGGAAGAUAAUGACGGUACCGCAAGAAUAAGCCCCGGCUAACUUCGUGCCAGCAGCCGC
rnacentral:rRNA from 1 species